ACAGGAGAAAUGGGCAAACUGCUGGGGGCAUCACUGUUGAUUCUGUGGCUUCAGCCAGACUGGACGGAGAGCCAGCAGAAUGGUGACCAGUGGCAGGUCAAGCAGAACCCUCUGCUCCUGACUGUGCUGGAGGGAGGAGCUGCUAUUUUGCAUUGUGACUACAACAAUGAUCUGUUUGACUACUUCCUAUGGUACAGAAAAUAUCCUGCUGACGGCCCUGCACUCCUGAUAGCCAUACUGUCAGUGGGGAAGCCUGAGCUUUCAAAUGGAAGAUUCAUGGUCGCACUCAACAAAAGUGCCAAACAUCUUUCUCUGCACAUCAAGGACGUCCAGCCUGGAGACUCAGCCACUUACUUCUGCAUAGCGAGGGCACAGUGUUCCCCAGGCACCUGCAGCCUGUACCCAAACCUGCAGCUGGGGCUGGGCCAGCCCUCACUGAGCCUUCUCAGGGAGGCACACCAGUGGCGCUGGGGAAACUGGGCAGCCACACACAAAACGAAGGAGCCAGUUGCUCAUCUCACACCAUGCCUGAAAGUUAACUCAGAGAGGAUCAAAGACAGACACGGUAUAAACCUGUAA